rnacentral:rRNA from 1 species
GGAUCGGCUUCAACCCCGAUCUGACAUUCACAACCAUAACACCUGUGCACCGUUGGAUGACCUCUGCUCUCACGAGCUCUGGGACUCCUCUUUACACCAAACCAUUUGUAACAAAUGUAGUCUUAUUAUAACAUAAUAAAACUUUCAACAACGGAUCUCUUGGUUCUCGCAUCGAUGAAGAACGCAGCGAAAUGCGAUAAGUAAUGUGAAUUGCAGAAUUCAGUGAAUCAUCGAAUCUUUGAACGCAAAUUGCACUCCUUGGUAUUCCGAGGAGUAUGCCUGUUUGAGUGUCAUGAAAACCUCAACUCCCUGUUUGGUUGAUCCAAAUAGGGAUGUUGGACUUGGGUGUUUGUCGAUGAUGAGUCGACUCGCCUUAAAAACAUAAGCUGGACUAGUCUUUGUCUUGGUUUCCUCAGGCGUGAUAAGUAUUUCGCUUGGGACAUGGGUUCGCCCAUGGCCAGGACUUUGGCAGCGGUCUGCUUUCUAUACCCUAUGUGCACACCUGUGUGUAUAUAAUUCUUGACAUCUGGCCUCAAAUCAGGUAGGACUACCCGCUGAACUUAAGCAUAUCAAUAAGCGGAGGAA